rnacentral:lncRNA from 1 species
AUGCGGUUUGUGGUAACUGGUUCCAGCAGCCCUAGGAAUCUAAUACACUGCCCAUGGAACAAAUCCUUUCUUGACCACCAAUGGCUGCAUGACUUAUCCUGAGAAGAUCAUGGGGAUUUUGGAUGCCAGGUCAACCCUUACACUCAGCAAGGAAGUGGAAGGGCCUCAGUUUCAAACACUUUGUAAACACAGAGGUUAUUUUGAGGAUCAAGUGAAACUUAGAAACAAUAACAACAAAAAAAGCAAAGUCUGUGAUCAAGAAGAAUUACUCUGUUGCAACAAUAUAAACUAAGAAAAAAAUACGCAAAAUUCUCUGCUGCCUUGGGAGAUGAUCUCAUGAUGUGUAUCAUUUACUUUUAAUAUUUUUAUUUAUUUAUUUUUGAGACGGAGUCUCGCUCUGUCGCCCAGGCUGGAGUGCAGUGGCGUGAUCUCGGCUCACUGCAACCUUCGCCUCCCGGGCUCAAGUGAUUCUCCUGCUUCAGCCUCCUGAGUAGCUGGGAUUAUAGGCAUGUGCCGCCAUGCCUGCCUAGUUUUUUAUUUUUAGUAGAGAUGGGGUUUCACCAUGUUGGUCAGGCUGCUCUCAAACUCCUGACCUUGUGAUCUGUGCGCCUCAGCCUCCCAAAGUGCUGGGAUUACUGGUGUGACCGACCGUGCCUGGCCAAUGUGUAUGAUUUAAUAGCCAGCAGCAACAGGCCACUAACAUGCCAUCUGCUAACAGGGGCUCUAGCUAUUAACAUCAACAGAGCUAAAAACUCUUAUGUCUGAUCCCUUGCAAAUGGCGAAGACCUGGCUGAGAAUUAUUAUCUCAUGCUUUCAGAGAAAACUUUGCUUGUCCUGCACUGAAAAAUCUGGCUGCAAUAAUCACAUGGAAGAAGGUAUGUUUGUUGGCAUGGUUCAUGGGCUGGCUUAUGACUUCUAAGCAGAAGAUACAAAAUAAUAUAAAAAUCCUGCAACAUGCACAAUGUAGCUGAUAUUCAUGUUCUCUUUAAAUAUCUUAACACUGACUUACAUAUUUAAGGGUGUGGAGUCUUUGAGCUUGGGAAGCAUCUUAUUACUGAGGUACAAAUGCUAAAAGAGGGACAUUUCUUCUAUCUACCGCAUUUUCAAUGAAAAGAUGCUGAAGGUGAAUAAACAGCUCUGCAAACCCAGUUUUGUUUAACUUGGCAACAGCAGUAAGUAAGUAUCACUGGACACAGAGACACUGGAAUAGAUUCAGUCUUUAGUCUUAUUCAUCACGUCUGACCUUGGGCAUAUUACAUGGUUUUCCUGAGCCUAUGAAAUCAUGCGGCUGAACGAGCUGAAAACUAAGAUUCUUUCCUUUGCUAAUAAAUUUCAGCAAACGAUAGGAGUAAGAACGGCUGUCUAACGAGACUACCAAAUGCUACGAGACGCAGCAAGCAAUGUCCCUUUACCUAAUGGAUACAGCUUCUUAACUGUUUAUCCAAAGUCUCCCCAAGCAAAUUCUAAAUUAUUCUAAAUUAUUUGAGUAACAAAGAUUGGGCCCUUAUACCUGUGACGUGUCUGGCAAUGACAAAGAAUGUGGAACAUGGGAAGCAUUUAAUACAUAUUUAUU